AGAGUCGGCGAGGGAGAGGGAGGCAGGUUCAAUUAUCUAAACAAAGAAAUCAUGGCGGAGUGUUUACAUUUGGCUGCCCAAAGCCUGUCGGAUUACGGACCCCCCCCCAAACACACCCGGCCCUCCCGGCCCCCCGCAGUAGCGGCGUGCCGGAGCCCGCCCGCCGACACCUCGCCGCGGCCCGGAGUCUGAAACAGCUGCUUUGAAGAGAUCUUUCACAUGAAUGACUAGACUGUGAAUUGCUAAGACUACCCAUCACAUCACACCGGCGGAAGGGUGAAGCUGUGGGCCACUGAGCACCGAUUUCUCUCAGUACCACAAUUAUGGAGACACCUGUGCUUAAUAACAAUGUGCUGUGCUACCUUGCAAAUUGCAGGACGGCGGCCUGGUGCAAGAUGCGCAGAUGGCCGUCGCCUCCCCUGCAGGCAGCCCCCACCUCCAGCUUAGCUCCAGGAGGUGCUCCGAGCUCAGUGUUCCCCACAUCCCCCCCUCCAGUGCCCUCUGAAUUCUUUCAGACUGCUGAUAAGAAGGAACAGAUGGUAGCACCAUCCUGUCUCAGCACCAAACACUGUCUGGGAGAUGUAUGCAAUGUAAAAUGCAUCCCUGUGUGGAGAAGCAGAUAGUGCUCCUGCAAAGUGUCAGCAUGGUGGAUAUUAUGGCAGAUUUCUACAGCCAAGACACAAAUGUUGACAGAUUUCCAGAAUGCCCUUCCACAGAACACGGAGCAUCCUUGUGCCACAUUCCUUCACCACAGCAAUCGCUGGCUGUCUUAGAGCCACAGUGACAGAGGCACCUUAGGUGACUUUAAUCUGUAAUAUCAGCAAUAAUCACCGUGGUAUUGUUGCCUAGGCAUUCCUGAAGAGUCAGAAGUGGACUGUAAUUGAAGAGUUCAUUACCAAGAUCAGUUGGCUCCUUGAUUACUGUGGCAAGGUGAAAUAUAUAUCCUCACCAAAAAGCAACGGCUAAACCUUUAGAGAAGUCACCCACUUUUCACUCUUUUUCAUUAGGACCCCGACAAGCUUGUCAGCAAAAUUAAAGGUAUGUCAUUCACAUCGUGCAUGCAUUGCAAAGGACUAUAAACCUGCCAACCCCUUUGAUGAAAUAAAAGGGUUUUAUUUAUGAUUCAUGUAGGAAUAUGAGGUUAUUUUUAUUCUGCCAGUACACUAAUAAUCAGACAAGAGCUCAGGAAAUGAGAAGGCAAACUGACAGGGAGGUUCUGAUAAAGGGGAACCCUCUGGGGUAUUUUGCCCCCUUUGUAAUCUCUUCCUUUUUAGUGAGAGGUUAUAAGCAUGGCUUAGCAUGAUCUUGCAACUAGCUUGGCUUGCAGGAACAAAGAGAACAGCUACCUAGCAGGACCUGAGGUAUAAUUCCACAAGAAAAAGAAAAUGCUUCCACCAGAUAGAUCUGCAUUGCCACAGUGAUGUGAAUGGGAGUACCCAAUCUGGUUUUCCAAGAGCACAAUGAGUUGUAAAGACACCCUACUUUUCUACUUGCUUUCCUACUGGGCAACAUAACUAAUCUGAGCAACAAGAAAGGAGACCAUGAAACUCAUACAGAGCCCUUGCAAAUUUGUUACCAAUUUGUUUUAUUCUAAUUUCUGCAGGACUCAAAGCAGGAUGUUUUCAAACUGCUCCCAGCCUAGUGGAACUUGAGGUACAGCAGCACAGUGACAGGAGGUUGGGGCAAUAACUCCCUUCACAGUCCCUGAUCAACAUGUGUGCUUGCAGAAGAGCUAUGCUGCAGGUUGCAUUUCAAGAUAUGCUUUGCCCUUGGUGUUUCAGUGUUUUGGCAGUCUGAAGCUGCUUCAGUUCUAACGCAGCUCAGUGAAACUUCUGGAAGUGUGUUUUGUGCACAUUGGUUUAAGCUGUCACUCAUGCCACCAGCACCACCGUGAUUACAGAAACACUCCCUGCAAGUGAAAAGGUAUCACUGUGCUAGCUGGCUGCCCUUAAGUACGGUAGUUUGCUCAACAGUAGUGUGUUGGCAGGAAAACACAGACUAGCAAAAUAUAUGCAGGAUGAAGUGAAACAAAGUUCACUGGAGGAAAGAAAAUAAUACUAAUCCUUCAUUCAAUAAGCAGCGAGUUAAGUACAUUUUGCAUGUUGAAGAAAUGUAAGAGCAAAGGGAAGAAAGCACACAUAUAAAGGUGGUGUGAACGCCUUCCUCUCUAAAGACAACAUAUGGGGCAUUUAGAUAUGAAUAAUCCCAGGAGUUAUACCCAAGCUGCUAACAUGAAAUGUAGCACCUACUUUCAGACUCCACAGAAUUUCAGGGUGUUUGAGUUCCCUCUGACCUGAGCAUCCCCCAAAGACACAUUGCUAACAUUUUCAUGGCUUGCUCAAGUAGCUGAAUAGACCAGUGCUUGAGGUGGGAUUACAUUGAAUCUCCAGCUCUUAAUUUUCCUUAUUCAGAUUUGCACCAGGUUUGAGAUGUUUGGAUUGGUAAGGUGAGGCUGGAUAUGAAAGGAUGAGCCAUGGUCCAGGCAGCAAAGGUGAGCUGAACAGUCUGGUUUCUGGACAUUAAGCCAACCUCUGUGACUGUCUCGGGCUUCUCCAUGGUGCCAUCUCUGAGGCUUGUCCUACACCAUCCUACUGAUGCUAAGGCAUUCAUGUUGCAGGGGGCCUUGGACAAAUACAGACACCUACUGCUCUGCUGUCCACAGUGUUUUACCUCUGUACCACAUGACACCUGAAAGAGAUUCUUUAACAAAUGCUUCCAAAAGCAUUUCUGAUGAUGUAAAUCUCUUGAUGGCAAAACAUGCAUCCAUUAGCAGAAGAGCUCCAGGACAAAGGCAGUACUUGGCAUUAUUUUCUGUGCCUUCUCAAGGUGUGGCUGGAUAUCAGGGCUGGGAUCAGAUCCUGCUGACUGCAGAGCACCAGGUGCCAGUCUCUUCAGAGGAGCCAUCACCUGGAAGGAACUGCCUGGGCUUUUGGGUGCUGUGUAUUACUGGAAGGACUCACAGUAUCCCCAAGGCAUUGCUGUCCCUUUAAAACUCUGCUUUCUUGUGUUGACUUCAUGAUUUGCAAUAAAGCAUAAUUUUAUUUCUCUCAGCUAAUUGCAGACUGCUCCCUUCCACACUCUUGAUCUUUGCACACAACCAAAGGCAUUGCUACAAGCCAGAUGCGAGGUUUAGGAGGCUGUGAUCUGUGCUGGCUGUUCCCCAGAGCAUCCAGGUACUUCUCCUCGCCCCUCUCCAGCCUGCUGUUACGCUGGGUGCGGAGCAGGUAACUAUGUCAUCAGCCCAAGAUUUCAUUCUUGCAAAGCACGGAGAUUCAUUAUACUUACUUUAUCAGCAGUAAGGUUUACUGCCGAAUCCAUGAGAGAUAUUCGUGUGAAACAUGAGUAGAGAGUGAGGCAUUGCAUCUUUUCAUUAAUAAGCCCUCUUCUGGGAUCCGGCAUUAGUGAGAUUCAGCGGAUCAUAGAGCACAGGGGUAUCAUUUUUACAUGAUUACUCUAAAUUCUUAAACCAGAGGCUUAAGAGAGAGGCUUCGUACAAAGGCAGCUGUGGGAAUUGUUAAGUGAUUGGCACAGCACUGAGAUGGGCUGAACCACUGCAGGUACCUCCAGCCAUGGGGGUACCAGCAGCAUCUCAUUACCAACCAUGGAGGGAAAUGCCAAAGAGGGACUGUGUCAGCUGGAGGAGCUGUGCUAACCCUGCAAAAUACCUCUGUAGUUCUGUCCCUCCUCCCAAAUAAAUCUCUUGUCAUAGUACUUUGGCAGGGUACCACAGGCUAAGCUGUUCCCUUUCUGUGCUGUUGUAUCUGGGCUUAUUUUUGCCCUGUCUGAGCCUUCCUUCACUAGGACAGCUGCUAAAAUAUUGCCUGUGCAACCUCCACUCCCAAGAAAUUAGCUGUUGGCUGAGCAGAGUGUUGAGAUACUUUUAAGAUAUGUUUUCUUUGGGUGAGAAGCUUUGGGCAGCCCAGAGGAUAAGCAUGCAACUAGAACAUCUUCGCCGGGUGGUAAAGAAAGGACCUGUAGACCUACACUGCUUUCUUGAGGUCACUGCAUAUUCUCUCUGUGAUUUCAUGCACAUCCAGGCAAAAAUGUUGCCUUGUUGCCUUUGCUGCUGCAUCCUGUCCUGCCAGGCUGCGUACUAACCAAAAUCAAGGAGCUGAUGUGGACAAAAUAAAGUCUUCUCUUUUUCCCAGGGUUGGUUUUCGUCUGUGUAAGUUCCUCAGCCUAUUACAAAAUACAGGUACAGAAAUGCUUAUUCCAUCAUGAGAAGAAGGACCAUGCAGUGAAAGAAAGACUGAACUGCUUCUGUCAUUGACAGCAUCAGCUUGUAUUGGCCAAACACAUUGGCUGAGCUGUGCCUUCCACACCCCGUUCAGAAAAUGGAGAUCUUACCAAUUCUUCUUAGAAUCUUUAAGGACGAUGUCGUCGGCCUUUCCAAGUGUAUUUGCACUUGUCCAUAGAACAACAGAGGAGGCAUUUCAUUUGCAUAAACUGUGAAUAGUUUGGCUGGGUAGAUGGGCAAGAAAUAAAUCCUUGAUUUUAACAAAAAGCACUUUGAUGGGGGAUCAACUCGAUGGGAGAAUCAACAAAGCAAGUAAGAAGCGUGAUGCCAGACUUCAAACCACAACCUGUGUGUAUUUUCCUGGGUCCAUACUUACCCAUAACAACUGCUCUGAUGGCAACAGUUGCCAGAGUCAUCCAGUCAUCCCAGGGUACCCUUAUCUCUGAAAUACAAAGGUGACUGCUGCUCAGUUACAUCUGAUGAAUGUUAGUGGAAAAAGAAUUACUGCACUAUUUUCCCAACAUGUCUAAGUCCUGCAGAAACCUCCAGUAUCCCAGUCAGUGCCUGAUCCUGAUCACUGAUAUUGGAGAAAGGUGAACAAAAGUGAAAUUCACUUUUUGAUACAACAGACCUAUGAAACCCAAGAACCAUACUGGAAAAUUUGGAAGUAUCCUGCCAUAAAGUAUUCCUGGCCUUGUUGGUAUUAAUCAACCAAUUCUCAGGUUUUUAGAAACAACUGAUUUUAGGCAGAGAUGUUCCUCUUUGAGAUGACUUACUUCAUCUAGUGCUUCCUGUAAGUCCAAUAAGAAAAAGAAAAAUGAGAAGCAGGAAGGUGGGGUCAUGUGGGGCACUGAAUAAUCCAGAUCAAACAGCAAAGAGCGCCCGAUUAGAAGCCAACGCAUUUCUCUUUUCAGUAUCUCUGAAAUUGUUUGGCAGACUUAAUUAGAAACAGGUGCAAGCUAUAAUAUUUAUUGCAACAAUGCAUCAUUUUUGUCUGUUUCCAAGGUCAUCAUUCUAGCCAAUGGAAAGCCAACAACCCACAGGGAGUAUAACUUAGUCUAUAUGGGUAAAAUGUGAAUUACUUAACCCUUUAUCUAAUGGAAUGAAAUACAACAUUGCACAAAGCACAAAGCUCACAAAAUGGAAAAUCCUGUGAGAAAUCUUUCUUGAUAACAGGUUCCAGUGAAGUAAGUGACAUCACCAGCUGAGCUAAUAGCCAGCCUUAGGUAAAAUGGAGUAGGUACAGAUAAGGAAUGAGAAAAACACAUUUUUUUUUACUACUUUUCUUUCAGAGGCCUGGGUUUAUGUAGAAUUUGCUGCAGUAGGAGACCAUGAUUGCAUGUUAUCUAGUGCCUAUGCUAUGGUUGGGUAUCAUGCGCUAUGUUCUGCUAAGAUUUAGCAGUAUAUUUCUUCGGCUGCAUCUGUCUCCAGUGCAAUCAGGCUACAGCUGCACUUGUACGGGAGCACCUUAAAGCAGCCUCUGUAAGCUGCCAGGUAAUCGUGCCAGGGUUUUCCAGUGGGAGAAGCCUGGAAGAUGAAGCUGUAGAUCCUUCCUGCCUGUUAAGCCAGCAGACUCAGAGAGACUAGAUCUACAUUUUCCUCUCCAUCCAAGGGUAAGUGUGCCAAACGUGAUUCCAUCUGGCCCCAUGGUGAUUUUUUGUGGUUAAAACCUGAAGGGCCCUUGGUUACAAUAAAGCCCCACUUCCAAAACUGUCACUUAAUUCCCUCUUGUGAGUUCUCGUAAUCUCUGUGUGACUUUUUUUGUUCUUUUGUGAUCAUUUGCAAGUGAGGGUCUUCUCUGAAAUUCUGUUUCAUUCCUUUUAAAUGUGACAAAGAUAAAUAUGGAAACAAAGCAGCAUACUUUAAUAGUAGAGAUGUGUGAAAUUGUGAGAUUUUUGCCUUUUUGCAAAAGCCGCAAGAAGAUGCCAAUAUUUCUGCAGACGGAAACUAUUUUUUCCACCUCCAAAUUGUCACACAGCAUAAAAUCUGUGGCUGUUUGUGUGUCGUUGGAUAAAGGUAGCAAGGAAAUACAGGUUCCCUCUUGAGAGUUAGGGGACCCUGGCUUCUAACUUGUUCUUUUGGCUACCACAGUUCCCUGAAAGGCACCUCAGCACCUAGGCAGCACCACUGUCCUCAUUAAUUGUGCUCUUUCUACAGGGAAUUACUAAUGCCCUCUGUGAUCUCAGGAACCAUUCUUAAAAAAGACUAUCAUCUGUCCAUAAAAUUCAGAGGUAAAAUAGUCCAAGCACAUGAUACUGAUGGAUUUGGGAUGGAAUUGUGCUUGUUUAUUGAGACAGGUCCUACAGUCAUAUUUAGAGAUCUCAGCAGAAUCAAAGCUGAUGUUUUGAGAGGACUCCUCUGCAGCACCUCAAUGUCCCAGGACUGAAUCCUUGAGAAGACCCGACUCAAGUUUGAAACUUUGCAGCUCGACAUCCAUGCUGAUUUUAUUCUCUUCCUUUGAAUGUAAUAUCCCACGUUUCAACUGCGUGUCUCAUGGUACAUGAUCUUUUAACUGCAGGCUGGUGAGAUUUUACAUCAUAUGAGCGUCACAGAUUUGCUCAGGUAAUUUGGUUCCUGAAGUGUUGGUAACAUCCUGUCACAGUCAUUUUGCCCUUUUCUUUAUCUUUCUCCCUGAAAGUGCAGAUGUUAUAGGGAGCUAGCUCAGAACUGGGGAUCUGUUCCAUUGUUAACGUUCAGGCUCUUGCCAACACAGGUGUGUAUGAUGAGGAGAAUUAGGAAAAAAGGGAGACAGUGAUUGCCCAAAGCCAGCCAGGAUGGCAGCUGCCAUCCUGCAGAGGACCACUGGCACCAGGAGCUGGUCAAAUUGGGAAGGGCAGAGGAGAGCCUCCCUGCACUGUUAAAGGUAUUUCAGGCCAGUGUUUGCACAGUUCUCCAGAUCCCCAGUGUGAAUAAAUGGGUAGGGAUGUGAGUGAGAAAGGAAGGCUUAUGCCAGGGAACUGAGCGAUGUGUAAUAUUGCCGAGCAAGCUUGAGACUUCUGGAAAUGCACUAUGCACACUUGGAAAAGGCAGUGGUCGUUCUGGGAGGCUCUGCUCAGGCAUCGCAUUUAGCUCUGUGUCCUGGCUGCCAAGCCACACUUGAAUUGUAUUGCAUUUGGAUUCUGGCAGAUCAAGUUACAGGUGAUGGCUGGGUUAGCUGCCUUGGUCUUGGGUCAUUCCUGCAUUGUACUUAACUGAAUAAUACCCUCCCUUCCUUCUUCUUUUUUUUUUUUUUUCUCUCAUUGAUCAAGCUGCUUUUGAGAAAAGUGAUACUUUGCAUAUCUGGCUAAGUGCUGUUAACAGUCUCUGCCUGCGGUUUGUUAAAAUUAAAAAAAAAAAAAGGAAAAAAAGAAAAAAAAGAAGUGUGAUCUUGCUGGAGAAGUAAUUUGCUUCUCUCCAACCAAUGAUGGCUUGCACUUUAUGCAAAUUGGUAUCUAGGGAUAACAAAUCCCAUUUAAUACAUAUGCAUAGUUCAUAAAAAAAAACGACAUGAGAGAAAGAGAAAAAAGAUAAAGCAACGAGUCAGCAAAAGAACAGGUUCCGAGGAAAUUUAUUGUCCCAAAUUGGACAUUUGUAACAGAUGAUGUGAACAAGUGUUAACUUUGUUUUCAGCAGCUCUUCACGUACAUUCACUAGACAUCACACAGAUUAUGUUUUAAGGAUCUGAACUGUAAUAAAAAAAAGUGUCUGUGGGCUUUGGAGUGUUGUGUUCCAUAUGGUUGGGGAAGUGCGGAGUUAUUGCGACAAGCAUCUUGUGAAGCUCAUUACGCACGGCGGUGUUAGAUGCGAAUUGCUGCGCAUCGCUAUAGGGUACGUACAUGACAUCCCACAGUCAGCAGAUAGCAACUGGAAAUGAAAGAUAUGAAGGCACAGAGUACAGCUUCAGGGAACAUGUUAGACAAAACAUCUGCUGGUAUCAGAAAGCUGCAUUAUCAGAUCAUUGUGGCCAUGAAUUUUUUAUAAAGACUUUUUUUUUUUUUUUUUUAAAGCUGCAACUUUGAAAGUGACAUUUUGAGGGAAAGUUUUUGACUGAAGUGUGAUGUCAGGAGAAAGGGCAGUCUAGUUUAUUAUCUGCGUGAGAGCCAAUACUGGCAGCCUGAAUCGGCUCCUCUCUCCAAGCAGUGCAGCUGGCCAUCAAAAAGUACAAGUGCUUGUUCCCUCCUGAUCCUGAUGUCUGAUAAAACUCUGACCCAGAUGACAGGUGGUGGCUUUACCACCAGACUCCUCAGCAAGGAGUUUUCAAGUUUUGUUCCUGAAGGGCUACUUUGUCACAUGGCUGGGCACUGCUGAUUAAAAUUAACCUAAAAUUUGUGCUUAGGAGAUAGAAGACGACAUGGCUUGCAUGCAAAGUCCAGAGAGGAGAGCUCAGCCUCCUUGCUCAACUCCCAUGCAGUUGGGACCUGUACAGUGCCUGUGGCAAAUGCUGCCAGCCCUCUAACUCUGCCAAGACGGCCUCAACCAGGAAAGUUUUGCCACUGUGCUGGUUGUCCAGCCCAAGAGCUGUGCCUGGGGAGUGCUGCUGUAAGCCACAGCAUGUCAGUGCUGAGAGGGGCCUCCACCUACUUAACAUUCCUGGCAUUUGUAAGAGCGGUGAGAUGGCAUGAAAUGUAUGUGCAUAUUGGAACUAUUUACAUUAAAACAGACAGGCAUUUUCCAGUCUCUCAUCUGUCCAGCCCCAGCUCUGGAUUUUCAUUUGUAUCACUUGCACUGGAAGGUGAAACAACCUCCUCAUCUACAGCAACAGGCACUGAUGGAAACCCACCUCCCAUUGCUCUGCAGCUGGUCUCUGUCUCUCCAAUGAAAUCCCUCAAAACUACACAGAAAAAAGUGAGCAAGCUGCCUCCCCAUGGUGAUUUACAAAUUGUCACCUCAAAGAGGAGACCAGGUACUCCUUGAUGUUUUGACAUCCUUCCUAAGCCUUCUCCUUCUGUGUGCUAAUAUAUGGGAGAAGGAAUGUAAGGUCUGGAAACAUCGCAAUGCACGGAAGGACAGAGUUGCCAGCAGCUACUUUUUGUGUAACACUGGGCUCAGUCACUCACCCGUGUCCUCCCCCCCAUACAAAAAUAACUUGGUCACUAAUGGCUUGUUGUGAUUUCUUCCUUAGGGUGAGAUUUUAGAAAACACUUGAGGAUAGCUUUAAUGAAAACACAAACAGACCAAAUCUGAGCAAUCUGUAUUUUUUUCUCUUUCAAAUAGAGUUUGAAUCCAUAUUAUGAACUGAAAACUUUGAUUCUACACUUGCUUGUUUUUGUGGAGAGAAAAGCUGAAUAUGGAUUGUUUUUCCGAGAGGUGCCUCCACCACAACAACUCCCAUCUGUGCAACUGUAUGUGAAGUCCUCAAACCCUGGAGUGUUCUGGUUUGCAGUGGGACAAGGGGCAGAUCUGGCCUGAGCUGAACACUGGUCAUCAAGGACAUAGUUUCAGAUUGGAUUUGCGCUAUGCUUUGAAAGAUUUCCUUGGUCAUUCCUCAACUUUUCUAUAUGCAGUCCUUCUGAUAGCAAAAAUGUUUCUCAGUAGGAACGUGAACGUGGAUGAAGAGCCUGGCGUGGAAAACCACUGAGUUCUGACACAUUCCAUUUGCUCCUAACUCUUUGAUUUCUGCUCACAGAAUCUGACAUAUGUUGGGCAUUGACCUUGCUCUUUUAAAUAAGCUUAUUUUAGAAGACCUUUGCAAAAUGCUGUCUGUUUGGCCUCGAUGUAAGCUGUGAGAGAAAUGUAGUACAAACACAGAAGUUGUAUGUUUUGAAUGCCAGAGAUGUUACACCAAAGAGCAGUUGGUGUGAUCUAUACUGCUGAAUGCUUUCUGUGCUGAUAGCAAGGCUGUGUCCUUAAAGAAAAUAAAGUUGUACUUCCUGCAUU